GAGUUUGAUCCUGGCUCAGAACGAACGCUGGCGGCAGGCCUAACACAUGCAAGUCGAGCGGCCGUAGCAAUACGGCAGCGGCGCACGGGUGAGUAACGCGUGGGAACCUACCCUUUGGUUCGGAACAACCCUGGGAAACUAGGGCUAAUACCGGAUGAUCCCCGAGAGGGGGAAAGAUUUAUCGCCGAAGGAGGGGCCCGCGUCCGAUUAGCUAGUUGGUGAGGUAAGAGCUUACCAAGGCGACGAUCGGUAGCCGGUCUGAGAGGACGAUCGGCCACACUGGGACUGAGACACGGCCCAGACUCCUACGGGAGGCAGCAGUGGGGAAUAUUGGACAAUGGGCGCAAGCCUGAUCCAGCCAUGCCGCGUGGAUGAUGAAGGCC
rnacentral:rRNA from 1 species